AUGGAGGUCUACAUCACGUCCUUUAGCUAUGAGGAGAGCGACCUGGAGCUGGGAUACACAGUAUUUAAGAUAGAAGUGCUAAUGAAUGGAAGAAAACAUUUUGUUGAAAAAAGGUACAGCGAAUUUCAUGCCUUGCACAAAAAGCUGAAGAAAUGUAUAAAAACUCCAGAAAUCCCUUCUAAACAUGUUAGGAACUGGGUCCCAAAAGUCUUGGAACAACGACAACAAGGUUUGGAAACAUAUUUACAGGCUGUCAUUUUGGAAAAUGAAGAGCUUCCCAAACUCUUCCUUGAUUUCCUAAAUGUGCGACACUUGCCCUCGCUACCAAAGGCAGAGAGUUGUGGAUCUUUUGAUGAGACGGAAUCUGAAGAAUCAAGCAAACUGUCCCACCAGCCGGUACAGCUGUUCCUCAGGGAUCCAUAUGUCUUGCCUGCAGCCGGUGAUUUUCCAAAUGUGGUUAUUGAAGGAGUCCUCCAUGGGAUAUUUUACCCCCAUGUGCAGCACAGGUAG